rnacentral:sRNA from 12 species
GGGGAAACCCUAAAACUGCCCUUUGAUACCCUUGCACGGACGCUAUUUGCAUGGCGGGGAAUUGUGCCGAACCCGUUUCAUGUGCCGGGGUUACACAGUUUAGACGCACACCAACAAGAUAACUGCACGGAGAGCGAAUUUUAUUAUGACCAGUC